rnacentral:snRNA from 1 species
GUGCUCAUGUGAGCAGCAAAUAUACCAAAAUUGGAAUGAUACAAAGAAGAUUAGCAUGGCCCCUGAGCAAGGAUGACA